AGGAAGCAUCCACAAGGACAGCCCCGCUGCUAAGUACCUUCUUGAGCGUGGUGUAGAUCGCAGGGACUUCAAUUCAUAUGGUAGCCGUCGUGGCAAUGAUGAAGUAAUGGCACGGGGAACUUUUGCAAACAUUCGCAUUGUGAACAAGCUCUUGUCUGGAGAAGUGGGACCAAAAACGAUUCACAUUCCGACGGGAGAGAAGCUCUAUGUAUUUGACGCGGCCAUGAAGUACAAGGCUUCUGGGCAUGACACCAUUGUUUUGGCUGGAGCAGAAUAUGGGAGUGGAAGCUCCCGGGAUUGGGCUGCCAAGGGUCCCAUGUUGUUGGGAGUCAAAGCAGUUAUUGCGAAAAGUUUUGAAAGAAUCCAUCGCAGCAACUUAGUUGGAAUGGGCAUAAUCCCUCUAUGUUUCAAGGCUGGCGAGGAUGCUGACACACUAGGCUUGACAGGUCGUGAAAGGUAUACAAUUGACCUGCCAAGCAGUGUCAGUGAGAUACGACCUGGCCAGGACGUUACUGUGGUGACCGAUACUGGAAAGUCUUUCACUUGUAUUGCUCGCUUUGACACAGAGGUCGAGCUGACAUACUUUGAUCACGGAGGCAUUCUGCCAUAUGUCAUCAGGAAUUUGAGCAAGUCUCAAUAGUUAAUUAAACCUUUAUCUCACAGAUUUAAGCUGUGUAAGUUUUACAUAAUUGCUGGAUGUAUGUCGUGGUUUCCAUUUGCCUAGUCCAGCAGAAUCGAGAUUGCAAUAAAGGGAACAGGGAGG
rnacentral:misc_RNA from 1 species